GAUGAAGAACGCAGCGAAAUACGAUAAGUAAUGUGAAUUGCAGAAUUCAGUGAAUCAUCGAAUCUUUGAACGCAUCUUGCGCUCCUUGGUAUUCUGAGGAGCAUGCCUGUUUGAGUGUCAUUAAAUUCUCAACUACACUGACUUUGAAUUGGUGUGGCUUGGAUUUGGGGGGAAAAUUGUUGUGGGCUUUUUGUAUAGUCUGCUCCCCUGAAAUUGAUUAGCGGUACCUUUGUGGAACUGUCUACAGGUGUGAUAAUUAUCUACAUCUUAGACAUCUGCUGGAAUGCUGCUUUCUAAACCUAACUUGUAUUGACAAUCUUGACCUCAAAUCAGGUAAGACUACCCGCUGAACUUAAGCAUAUCAAUAAGCGGAGGA
rnacentral:misc_RNA from 1 species